rnacentral:lncRNA from 1 species
GAAGGAGAGGAAACUGGAAUUGAUAAGUAAAAAAGUAGUAUCUCCUCCUUUAUGCCUUCCUCCUCUCUGCCUCCUCCUCUCUGCCUCCUCCUAUCUGCCUCCUCCUCUCUGCCUCCUCCUCUCUGCUUCCUCCUCUCUGCCUCCUCCUCUCUGCCUCCUCCUCUCUGCCUCCUCACAUUUCUUCUACCCUUUCUCUUUUCCACUUUAUCACUAAAAAUUGAACUCCUGUCCUAUGCCCUAAACCGUACCAUGCAAACUGAAUUCUAUGAUUUAAGUUCAGAAUCAACAACAAAUUGUCCUUAUGCCUUGCAGCUGGGACCAUCUUCAUCUCACUACUGUCAUUGGUAUUUGAUGGGUUCUGGAGACAUUCUGGAUAUCCACCCAAAUUACAGUUCUGGCUGUGAAAAAGGCUCCGAAGAAUGACUGCAUAGUGGAAAAGGUAGUUUUUGGAAAGGUAAUUGCCUUGUUUGUUGGUUCUCCUCCUAGUUUGGCUCACACAGCCGAAAAUAUAUAAAAAUGAAACAAGGCAGCCUCAUUGUAAAGUUGUAGUAUACAUGCUCAGACCUUUCACAAGUGAC